CACCCGCAGCACGAGUAGUGGUCACUUUUAUUGAGCCUAAAGCGUUCGUAGCCGGAUUCGUAAAUCUUUAGGAAAAUACUUCUGCUCAACAGAAGAAAUUCUGGAGAGACUGCGAAUCUAGGGACCGGGUGAGGUUGAAUGUACUUCUGGGGUAGGGGUAAAAUCCUGUAAUCCUGGAAGGACGACCGGUGGCGAAGGCGUUCAACUAGAACGGAUCCGACGGUGAGGAACGAAGGCUAGGGGAGCAAACCGG
rnacentral:rRNA from 1 species